rnacentral:rRNA from 1 species
CCGCGUGAGGGAUGACGGCCUAUCGGGUUGUAAACCUCUUUCAGCAGGGAAGAUGCGAGAGUGACGGUACCUGCAAAAGAAGCGUCGGCUAACUACGUGCCACCAGCCGCGGUAAUACGUAGGGCGCAAGCGUUGUCCGGAAUUAUUGGGCGUAAAGAGCUCGUAGGCGGCUUGUCGCGUCGGAUGUGAAAGCCCGGGGCUUAACCCCGGGUCUGCAUUCGAUACGGGCAGGCUAGAGUUCAGGAGGGGAGAUCGGAAUUCCUGGUGUAGCGGUGAAAUGCGCAGAUCUCAGGAGGAACUCCGGUGGCGAAGGCGGAGCUCUGGGCCGAUACUGACGCUGAGGAGCGAAAGCGUGGGGAGCGAACAGGAUUAGAUACCCUGGUAGUCCACGCCGUAAACGUUGGGAACUAGGUGUGGGCGACAUUCCACGUCGUCCGUGCCGCAGCUAAAGCAUUAAGUUCCCCGCCUGGGGAGUACGGCCGCAAGGCUAAAACUCAGAGGAAUUGACGGGGGCCCGCACAAGCAUCGGAGCAUGUGGCUUAAUUCGACGCAACGCGUAGAACCUUACCAAGGCUUGACAUACACCGGAAACGUCUGGAGACAGGCGCCCCCAUUGUG